GGGUUGUGAGGUUAAGCGACUAAGCGUACACGGUGGAUGCCCUGGCAGUCAGAGGCGAUGAAGGACGUGCUAAUCUGCGAUAAGCGUCGGUAAGGUGAUAUGAACCGUUAUAACCGGCGAUUUCCGAAUGGGGAAACCCAGUGUGUUUCGACACACUAUCAUUAACUGAAUCCAUAGGUUAAUGAGGCGAACCGGGGGAACUGAAACAUCUAAGUACCCCGAGGAAAAGAAAUCAACCGAGAUUCCCCCAGUAGCGGCGAGCGAACGGGGAGCAGCCCAGAGCCUGAAUCAGUGUGUGUGUUAGUGGAAGCGUCUGGAAAGGCGCGCGAUACAGGGUGACAGCCCCGUACACAAAAAUGCACAUGCUGUGAGCUCGAUGAGUAGGGCGGGACACGUGGUAUCCUGUCUGAAUAUGGGGGGACCAUCCUCCAAGGCUAAAUACUCCUGACUGACCGAUAGUGAACCAGUACCGUGAGGGAAAGGCGAAAAGAACCCCGGCGAGGGGAGUGAAAAAGAACCUGAAACCGUGUACGUACAAGCAGUGGGAGCACGCUUAGGCGUGUGACUGCGUACCUUUUGUAUAAUGGGUCAGCGACUUAUAUUCUGUAGCAAGGUUAACCGAAUAGGGGAGCCGAAGGGAAACCGAGUCUUAACUGGGCGUUAAGUUGCAGGGUAUAGACCCGAAACCCGGUGAUCUAGCCAUGGGCAGGUUGAAGGUUGGGUAACACUAACUGGAGGACCGAACCGACUAAUGUUGAAAAAUUAGCGGAUGACUUGUGGCUGGGGGUGAAAGGCCAAUCAAACCGGGAGAUAGCUGGUUCUCCCCGAAAGCUAUUUAGGUAGCGCCUCGUGAAUUCAUCUCCGGGGGUAGAGCACUGUUUCGGCAAGGGGGUCAUCCCGACUUACCAACCCGAUGCAAACUGCGAAUACCGGAGAAUGUUAUCACGGGAGACACACGGCGGGUGCUAACGUCCGUCGUGAAGAGGGAAACAACCCAGACCGCCAGCUAAGGUCCCAAAGUCAUGGUUAAGUGGGAAACGAUGUGGGAAGGCCCAGACAGCCAGGAUGUUGGCUUAGAAGCAGCCAUCAUUUAAAGAAAGCGUAAUAGCUCACUGGUCGAGUCGGCCUGCGCGGAAGAUGUAACGGGGCUAAACCAUGCACCGAAGCUGCGGCAGCGACGCUUAUGCGUUGUUGGGUAGGGGAGCGUUCUGUAAGCCUGUGAAGGUGUGCUGUGAGGCAUGCUGGAGGUAUCAGAAGUGCGAAUGCUGACAUAAGUAACGAUAAAGCGGGUGAAAAGCCCGCUCGCCGGAAGACCAAGGGUUCCUGUCCAACGUUAAUCGGGGCAGGGUGAGUCGACCCCUAAGGCGAGGCCGAAAGGCGUAGUCGAUGGGAAACAGGUUAAUAUUCCUGUACUUGGUGUUACUGCGAAGGGGGGACGGAGAAGGCUAUGUUGGCCGGGCGACGGUUGUCCCGGUUUAAGCGUGUAGGCUGGUUUUCCAGGCAAAUCCGGAAAAUCAAGGCUGAGGCGUGAUGACGAGGCACUACGGUGCUGAAGCAACAAAUGCCCUGCUUCCAGGAAAAGCCUCUAAGCAUCAGGUAACAUCAAAUCGUACCCCAAACCGACACAGGUGGUCAGGUAGAGAAUACCAAGGCGCUUGAGAGAACUCGGGUGAAGGAACUAGGCAAAAUGGUGCCGUAACUUCGGGAGAAGGCACGCUGAUAUGUAGGUGAGGUCCCUCGCGGAUGGAGCUGAAAUCAGUCGAAGAUACCAGCUGGCUGCAACUGUUUAUUAAAAACACAGCACUGUGCAAACACGAAAGUGGACGUAUACGGUGUGACGCCUGCCCGGUGCCGGAAGGUUAAUUGAUGGGGUUAGCGCAAGCGAAGCUCUUGAUCGAAGCCCCGGUAAACGGCGGCCGUAACUAUAACGGUCCUAAGGUAGCGAAAUUCCUUGUCGGGUAAGUUCCGACCUGCACGAAUGGCGUAAUGAUGGCCAGGCUGUCUCCACCCGAGACUCAGUGAAAUUGAACUCGCUGUGAAGAUGCAGUGUACCCGCGGCAAGACGGAAAGACCCCGUGAACCUUUACUAUAGCUUGACACUGAACAUUGAGCCUUGAUGUGUAGGAUAGGUGGGAGGCUUUGAAGUGUGGACGCCAGUCUGCAUGGAGCCGACCUUGAAAUACCACCCUUUAAUGUUUGAUGUUCUAACGUUGACCCGUAAUCCGGGUUGCGGACAGUGUCUGGUGGGUAGUUUGACUGGGGCGGUCUCCUCCUAAAGAGUAACGGAGGAGCACGAAGGUUGGCUAAUCCUGGUCGGACAUCAGGAGGUUAGUGCAAUGGCAUAAGCCAGCUUGACUGCGAGCGUGACGGCGCGAGCAGGUGCGAAAGCAGGUCAUAGUGAUCCGGUGGUUCUGAAUGGAAGGGCCAUCGCUCAACGGAUAAAAGGUACUCCGGGGAUAACAGGCUGAUACCGCCCAAGAGUUCAUAUCGACGGCGGUGUUUGGCACCUCGAUGUCGGCUCAUCACAUCCUGGGGCUGAAGUAGGUCCCAAGGGUAUGGCUGUUCGCCAUUUAAAGUGGUACGCGAGCUGGGUUUAGAACGUCGUGAGACAGUUCGGUCCCUAUCUGCCGUGGGCGCUGGAGAACUGAGGGGGGCUGCUCCUAGUACGAGAGGACCGGAGUGGACGCAUCACUGGUGUUCGGGUUGUCAUGCCAAUGGCACUGCCCGGUAGCUAAAUGCGGAAGAGAUAAGUGCUGAAAGCAUCUAAGCACGAAACUUGCCCCGAGAUGAGUUCUCCCUGACCCUUUAAGGGUCCUGAAGGAACGUUGAAGACGACGACGUUGAUAGGCCGGGUGUGUAAGCGCAGCGAUGCGUUGAGCUAACCGGUACUAAUGAACCGUGAGGCUUAACCUUACAACGCCGAAGCUGUU
rnacentral:rRNA from 1 species